UAACUACUAAGCGCUCUAUCGGCCAACUUGCAACAACCAACAACGAGCACUAGUUACAAUCACGCCACUACGCCGCUCCACAUUAAGCGAUUGUAGGAAGUGUAUAAAAGGAAGUACUGGUAUUCCAUUGAGGCAUAACGCAAUUUUUGUGCAAAUUUAAUCACCACUUACACUUCGUUCCACGAAAACAAAACCAAAAACCAAAAAUGGGCGCUGAAAAAGUAACCAUGAACAUCGUUGUCGUCGGACAAGUCCAAUCUGCCAAGGCCAUCAAAUCGGUCGCCAAAGCCGCCCCAGCCACCAGCCAAUUGAUGAACUGUUAACUCACGAAUUCCACAUGCAUCUCAAACUCAAAAAUGCUAUAGACAAAACAGUACAUAGUUUUAUAGUUUGUUGAUAAUUAUAAUAUUAUGUAUUGACAUUGCAAAAUAAAUCAGUCUUUUCCGUCAA